rnacentral:RNase_P_RNA from 1 species
GGAGUCGUCCAGGCAGCCGCUGUCGGCCGGAAUAUUCCGGCCGGGGGAGGAAAGUCCGGGCUUCACAGGGCAGGAUGCUGGCUAACGGCCAGGCGCUAUACGCUUUUGUGAAAAAGCCAAGGCGACGGAAAGCGCAGCAGAGAAAAGACCGCCGAUGGCUCCGCGAGGAGAUCAGGCAAGGGUGAAACGGCAGGGUAAGAGCCUACCGCGGGACUGGCGACAGAACCGGCACGGCAAGCCCCAUCCGAAGCAAGACCAAACAGGAGUCAUGACGUGGCCCGCGUCGCUCCGGGUCGGUCGCUCGAGCCUUGCAGCAAUGCACGGCCCAGAGGAAUGGCUGCCAGGGGGAAACCUCUACAGAACCCGGCUUAUCGGACGGCUCCCGCC